AUUUACUUAUAUUCACUUUAAAAAUUAUUACUUAUAAGCAACUCAAUCUUCAUUUCGUACUAAGUAAACCCUUAAACUAUGUCAUCUCUAUGGUAGGUACUGGGAAUAAAAAUAGAACAGCUAAUUAAAUUAUUAGUGCUAUUUCUGUUUUCCAGAACUCUUCAUGGAGUAUUUUAUUUGAUUCUUAGAGCACCUUAGAGGCAACGCUAUUUUCAUUUUAUAGGAUGAAGCUGAGGCACAGAGAGGUUAAGGAAAGCUGAAGUUCCACCUUUUGGAGUUUACGGGAGUUUCACGCGUCCGGCCCGCAGGGAGUGCUGUCCGAGCGCCGGCCGCGACUGCUGCUCUACCCCGGGGACCCAGCCAGCACUGUAACUCACAACUGAAGGAAGCUCCUCUUACCCAUGUUUCCUCCAUAAGACACAUCACAGCUUCUCCAGCUUAAAAGCACCCCACAGCACUUCAGCGCUAUGCUUGGGGCCACUGUAAACAGCAGAGUUGCCAAUAAAAAACACAACAGUGAAAACCAUGGCA